rnacentral:rRNA from 1 species
UACAGAGGGUGCAAGCGUUAAUCGGAGUUACUGGGCGUAAAGCGUGCGCAGGCGGCUUUGCAAGACAGAUGUGAAAUCCCCGGGCUUAACCUGGGAACUGCAUUUGUGACUGCAUGGCUGGAGUGCGGCAGAGGGGGAUGGAAUUCCGCGUGUAGCAGUGAAAUGCGUAGAUAUGCGGAGGAACACCGAUGGCGAAGGCAAUCCCCUGGGCCUGCACUGACGCUCAUGCACGAAAGCGUGGGGAGCAAACAGG